rnacentral:rRNA from 1 species
GACGAACGCUGGCGGCGUGCUUAACACAUGCAAGUCGAACGGAAAGGCCCUGCUUUUGUGGGGUGCUCGAGUGGCGAACGGGUGAGUAACACGUGAGUAACCUGCCCUUGACUUUGGGAUAACUUCAGGAAACUGGGGCUAAUACCGGAUAGGAGCUCCUGCUGCAUGUGGGGGGUUGGAAAGUUUCGGCGGUUGGGGAUGGACUCGCGGCUUAUCAGCUUGUUGGUGGGGUAGUGGCUUACCAAGGCUUUGACGGGUAGCCGGCCUGAGAGGGUGACCGGCCACAUUGGGACUGAGAUACGGCCCAGACUCCUACGGGAGGCAGCAGUGGGGAAUAUUGCACAAUGGGCGGAAGCCUGAUGCGGCAACGCCGCGUGCGGGAUGACGGGCUUCGGGUUGUAAACCGCUUUCGCCUGUGACGAAGCGUGAGUGACGGUAAUGGGUAAAGAAGCACCGGCUAACUACGUG